AAAUUUGUUUUAAAUUGUAAAAUUUUUUGAAAUUUAAUAAUAUAAAUAAUUAUUAAAUUUUGUAAAAUUUUUUUGUUUUAAUUAAAUGUAUAUAAAUAAAAAUAAUGUUUAAGUAAUUAAUUUGAAUAAAUUUAUAAAAUUAUGUAAAAAGUAAAGUAAUUGAAAUAAUAUUAUAUAUUUAAUAGUCAAUAUAAAAAUUUUACCUUUUGUAUCAGGGAAUAUUAAAUAAUUAUUAAAAAUUUUAUAAUUUUAGAAAUAUUAAGAGUAAUUUAUAUAUAAAAUUUAUUGUUUUAUAAAUAUUUUGAAUAUAUAAAUAGUAAUGAGAUGUUAUUCGAUUAAUAUUAUAUCUAAUUAUUAAUUAAAUUAAAUUAUUUAAGUUUAAUAUAAAUUAUAUUAAAAAAUUAAUUUUUUAAUAAUUUAUUAUUAAGUUAUUUUUUUUGGGUUUAUCUAAGAAAAAGAAUUAAAAAUAAAGUUUUAUUAUUAAUUUAAUAAAAUUAGAAGUAUUUAUUUAUAAUUAGUAUUUAAUAAUAAAUUUAUAAUUUAUAUAAUAAUUUGUUUUAAAUAUUUUAAUAAAUUAAUUAAUUAUAAUAAUUAAUUAUAAAUUAUUAGAAAUAAUGAUAAUAUUAGUAAAAAUUAUUUAUAUAAAAUAUAUUUAUAUUGAUAAAAAUAUAAUUAAUGAAUUCAGCAAAAAUUUUUAUUCAACUGUUUAAUAAAAACAUUGUUAAUUGAUUUAAAUUUUUAAUAUAUUCUGCCCACUGAAAUUUGAAUGGCUGCAGUAUUUUGACUGUGCAAAGGUAGCAUAAUAAAUUGUUCUUUAAUUAAGUUCUAGUAUGAAAGGGAUAAUGAAAUAAGAGCUUUAUUAAUUAUAAUUUUUGAAAUUAAUUAUUAAGUUAAAAGGCUUAAAUAUAUUUUUUAGACGAAAAGACCCUAGAGAAUUUAAAUAUAAUUAUUAAUAUGUUUAAAAAUUUAUAAAUUAUUAAUAAAAUUAUAUUUUAGUUGGGGAGAUUAUUAAAUUUAAUAAACUUUAUGUUAUAAAACAUUAAUUAAUGAUUAUAAGAUAAAUUUAUAAAAAGAAAAAUUACCUUAGGGAUAACAGCGUAAUAAUUUUGGAGAGUUCAUAUUGAAAAAAUUGAUUGCGACCUCGAUGUUGAAUUAAGAUAAAUUUAUUUUGAAAGGAAAAUAAAAUUUAGUCUGUUCGACUAAUAGUAUCUUACAUGAUUUGAGUUAAGAUCGGUGUAAGCCAGAUCGGUUUUUAUCUUAAAAUAAAUUUUAUAAAUUUUUGUACGAAAGGACUAAAUUUAUUAAAUAAUUUAUAAAAAAUUUGAAUUAAUUAAAAUUGAGUUAUUU
rnacentral:rRNA from 1 species